GAGUUUGAUCAUGGCUCAGAACGAACGCUGGCGGCAUGCCUAACACAUGCAAGUCGAACGGGAUCCAGGCUUCGGCCUGGUGAGAGUGGCGGACGGGUGAGUAACGCGUGGGAACCUGCCCAAUGGUCUGGGAUAACCGCGGGAAACUGCGGCUAAUACCGGAUAAGCCCGAGAGGGGAAAGAUUUAUCGCCGAUGGAGGGGCCCGCGUCCGAUUAGGUAGUUGGUGAGGUAACGGCUCACCAAGCCGACGAUCGGUAGCUGGUCUGAGAGGAUGAUCAGCCACACUGGGACUGAGAUACGGCCCAGACUCCUACGGGAGGCAGCAGUGGGGAAUAUUGGAC
rnacentral:rRNA from 1 species